rnacentral:rRNA from 1 species
GUGAGGAAUUUUCCGCAAUGGGCGAAAGCCUGACGGAGCAAUGCCGCGUGAAGGAUGAAGGCCUAUGGGUUGUAAACUUCUUUUCUCAGAAAAGAAUUAUGACGGUAUCUGAGGAAUAAGCAUCGGCUAACUCUGUGCCAGCAGCCGCGGUAAGACAGAGGAUGCAAGCGUUAUCCGGAAUGAUUGGGCGUAAAGCGUCUGUAGGUUGUUUAAAAAGUAUUCUGUCAAAGAUUAGUGCUUAACCCUAGAUAGGCAGAAUAAACUUUUAAGCUAGAGUUUGGUAGAGGCAGAGGGAAUUCCCGGUGGAGCGGUGAAAUGCGUAGAUAUCGGGAGGAACACCAAAGGCGAAGGCACUCUGCUGGGCCAAUACUAACACUGAGAGACGAAAGCGAGGGGAGCAAAUGGGAUUAGAAACCCUUGUAGUCC